GAAAUGCGAUAAGUAAUGUGAAUUGCAGAAUUCAGUGAAUCAUCGAAUCUUUGAACGCACCUUGCGCUCCUUGGUAUUCCUUGGAGCAUGCCUGUUUGAGUAUCAUGAAAUCUUCAAAGUAAAUCUUUUGUUAACUCAAUUGGUUUCUACUUUGGUAUUGGAGGUCUUUGCAGCUUCACACCUGCUCCUCUUUGUUCAUUAGCUGGAUCUCAGUGUUAUGCUUGGCUCCACUCGGCGUGAUAAGUUAUCUAUCGCUGAGGACACUGUAAAAGGUGGCCAAGGUAAAUGCAGAUGAACCGCUUCUAAUAGUCCAUUGACUUGGACAAUACUUUUAUGAUCUGAUCUCAAAUCAGGUAGGACUACCCGCUGAACUUAAGCA
rnacentral:misc_RNA from 1 species